CUCGUCUUCAAAACACUGAUGAUCCUUCAGGUUGUAUCUCUCUACUGUACAAUCGUCAUCUUUGAGUGCUGGUUCAGAUGGAGACAUUACCGCAAACAAGUGAAGGACUCACCAGAAGCAGAUGACGUCAAAGUGAUUGAAAGUCCAGCAUAAUGGGCCACAAGGA